rnacentral:rRNA from 1 species
AUUGAACGCUGGCGGCAGGCCUAACACAUGCAAGUCGAGCGGCAGCACGGGAGCUUGCUCCUGAUGGCAAGCAACGGACGGGUGAGUAAUGCCUAGGAAUCUGCCUGUUAGUGGGGGAUAACUCGGGGAAACUCGAGCUAAUACCGCAUACGUCCUACGGGAGAAAGUGGGGGACCUUCGGGCCUCACGCUAACAGAUGAGCCUAGGUCGGAUUAGCUAGUUGGUGGGGUAAAGGCCUACCAAGGCGACGAUCCGUAGCUGGUCUGAGAGGAUGAUCAGCCACACUGGAACUGAGACACGGUCCAGACUCCUACGGGAGGCAGCAGUGGGGAAUAUUGGACAAUGGGCGCAAGCCUGAUCCAGCCAUGCCGCGUGUGUGAAGAAGGUCUUCGGAUUGUAAAGCACUUUAAGUUGGGAGGAAGGGCUGUUACCUAAUACGUGACAGUUUUGACGUUACCAACAGAAUAAGCACCGGCUAACUUCGUG